rnacentral:rRNA from 1 species
AGAGUUUGAUCCUGGCUCAGGAUGAACGCUGGCGGCGUGCCUAACACAUGCAAGUCGAGCGAAGCGCUUGAAUUCUAUUCUUCGGAUGAGGAUUCUUGUGACUGAACGGCGGACGGGUGAGUAACGCGUGGGCAACCUGCCUUACACAGGGGGAUAACAGUUAUAAAUGACUGCUGAUACCUCAUAAAACCGCGGUACCGCAUGGUACAGCGGUAAAAACUCCGGUGGUGUAAGAUGGGCCCGCAUCUGAUUAGGUAGUUGGCGGGGUAACGGCCCACCAAGCGGAGGAUCACUAGCCGUCGUGAGAGGGUGACCUCCCACAUUGUGAGUGAGACACGGCCCAGACUCCUACGGGAGGCAGCCGUGGGGAAUAUUGCACAAUGGGGGACACCCUGAUAGCACGCGACGUCCGCGUGAGCGAUGUAAGUACUUCAGUAUGUAAAGCUUUAUCAGCAGGGAAGAAAAUGACGGUACCUGAAUAAGAAGCCCCGGCUAACUACGUGCCAGCAGCCGCGGUAAUACGUAGGGGGCAAGCGUUAUCUGGAUUUACUGGGUGUAAAGGGAGCGUAGACGCGCUGUGCAAGCCUAGAUGUGAAAGCCCGGGGCUCAACCCCGGGACUGCCUUUGGAACUGUGUAGCUGGAGUGUCGGAGAGGCAGGCGGAAUUCCUAGUGUAGCGGUGAAAUGUGUAGAUAUUAGGAGGAACACCAGUGGCGAAGGCGGCGUCCUGGAUGAUGACAUGACGUUGAGGCUCGAAAGCGUGGGGAGCAAACAGCAUUAGAUACCCUGGUAGUCCUCCCCGCAAACGAUGACUAAUAGGUGUCGGGUGGCAAAGCCAUUCGGUGCCGCAGCCAACGCAAUAAGUAGUCCACCUGGGGAGUACGUUCGCACGAAUGAAACUCAAAGGAAUAGACGGGGACCCGCACAAGCGGUGGAGCACGUGGUUUAAUUUGAAGCAACGCGAAGAACCCUACCUGAUCUUGACAUCCCGGUGACCGGAACUUAAUAUGUUCCUUCUCUUCGGAGCACUGGAGACAGGUGGUGCACGGUUGUCGUCAGCUCGUGUCGUGAGAUGUUGGGUUAAGUCCCGCAACGAGCGCCACCCUUAUUCUUAGUAGCCACCACAGUAAGGUGGGCACUCUAGAGAGACUGCCAGGGACAACCUGGAGGAAGGUGGGGAUGACGUCAAAUCCUCAUGCCCCUUAUGACCAGGGCUACCCACGUGCUACAAUGGCGUAAACAAAGGGAAGCGAACAUGUGAAUGUGAGCAAAUCCCACAAAUACCGUCUCAGUUCGGAUUGUAGUCUGCAACUCGACUACAUGAAGCUGGAAUCGCUAGUAAUCGCGAAUCAGCAUGUCGCGGUGAAUACGUUCCCGGGUCUUGCACUCACCGCCCGUCA